GCCAGCAUGGUGUAGUGGUUUGAGCAUUAGACUAUUACUCUGGAGAACAGGGUUCAAAUCCCAGCUCGGCCA
rnacentral:tRNA from 1 species